rnacentral:ncRNA from 1 species
UUAUCGUUUGUGCGUCGCUGCAAAUUCAGCGGCCGGGUUUGGAACCCCGAGGU